GGAAGCAUGAGGAGUAGGGGGAGGCUUCCUAGAGGAGUUUGAGGGUCAGAUUAUCUAGUGUGCUUUUCUAUCAGGGUGAAAUAGACUCAGUGUUACCCAGGAGCCUGCUUUUUGUGUUUUCUGUUAUCUCUGUGAAAUACUCUAUGAGCUAAUUAUGUUGGUGGUGUCUUCUCAGUUCAGUAAAACCCUGGUGGUAUUAUUUCACUGUUUAAGCUGCGAGCUUGUUGGAAGUGACUGAAGUUCAGAAGCUGGCAGAUAUUUAUGUCUGCAUUUUAUGGGUGAGAACACAUAAGGGAUUCAAUGGAAAGUUAAUUAUAUCUAUGAAUUACAAUAGAUGAAAUUCAUGGUAAGGAGUAAGGAAGAAAUGUCCAUUUCUGCAAUGAAUUGAUAGGAAAUUCCCAGGCAGCAGUGGUCACUACAGAUUAUGAAUGCCAGAUGGAUAUGCUUUAGCACACAUGGAACUGCUCAGACAAAAUAUCUUCUCCAAAAGAAAAGCCUUGGAGCUGGUUUGCAACAAUGGAAUUGGAGUACAAUUGCAACUGGAAAACAUAGUCUGUUCCAUAGGCUGUUCAUGAAAGUGAAAUUGGUUGGUGCGAAAAGACUUAAAGGCAGAUGUGGAAUAUGAAGGCCAUCAUCACAAAGUCACUUGAAAGGUGAUGGAAAAAACAGAUAUUCCUGAGGAUCAACUGUCUCAUGCUAUAUACAUAUCAAUAGCUAAUUAUCUGAAUCGUUAUCCUACAGUGAUGAUUUGUUUCCAUU
rnacentral:lncRNA from 1 species